UACGGAGGAUCCAAGCGUUAUCCGGAUUUAUUGGGUUUAAAGGGUGCGUAGGUGGCCUGUUAAGUCAGGGGUGAAAGAUCGGUAGCUUAACUAUCGACCAGGUGCCUUUGAUACUGACGGGCUUGAAUACACUAGAGGUAGGCGGAAUGUGACAAGUAGCGGUGAAAUGCAUAGAUAUGUCACAGAACACCAAUUGCGAAGGCAGCUUACUAUGGUGUCAUUGACACUGGAGGCACGAAAGCGUGGGGAGUCAAACAGGA
rnacentral:rRNA from 1 species